rnacentral:rRNA from 1 species
UACGGGGGGAGCAAGCGUUGUUCGGAUUUACUGGGCGUAAAGGGCGCGUAGGCGGCGUGACAAGUCACUUGUGAAAUCUCCGGGCUUAACUCGGAACGGUCAAGUGAUACUGUCGUGCUAGAGUACAGAAGGGGCAACUGGAAUCCUGGUGUAGCGGUGAAAUGCGCAGAUAUCAGGAGGAACACCGGUGGCGAAGGCGGGUCUCUGGGCCGAUACUGACGCUGAGGAGCGAAAGCGUGGGGAGCGAACAGG